rnacentral:rRNA from 1 species
AACGAACGCUGGCGGCAUGCCUAACACAUGCAAGUCGAACGAGACCUUCCGGUCUAGUGGCGCACGGGGGCGUGACGAGUGGGAAGCUGCCCUUAGGUUCGGAAUCACUCACCGUAAGGUGUGCUAAUACCGGAUAAUGUCUUCGGAGCAAAGAUGUCCCGCCUUGGGGUGGGCCCGGGUUGGAUUAGGUGGUUGGUAGGGUAAAAGCCUACCAAGGCGACGAUGCAUAGCUGGUCUGAGAGGAUGAUCAGCCACACUGGGACUGAGACACGGGCCAGACUCCUACGGGAGGGAGCAGUGGGGAAUAUUGUACACGGGGCGAUAGUCUAAUCCAGCAAUGUCGGGUGAGUGAGCAAGGGGGUAGUGUUGUAAAUCUCUUUUAGCCGAGGUGAUAAUGACAGUACCGGGAGAAUAAGCACCGGCUAACUACGUG